rnacentral:rRNA from 1 species
UACGUAGGGUGCAAGCGUUGUCCGGAAUUAUUGGGCGUAAAGAGCUCGUAGGUGGCCUGUCGCGUCGGCUGUGAAAACUCGGGGCUCAACUCCGAGCUUGCAGUCGAUACGGGCUAGCUAGAGUGUGGUAGGGGAGAUCGGAAUUCCUGGUGUAGCGGUGAAAUGCGCAGAUAUCAGGAGGAACACCGGUGGCGAAGGCGGAUCUCUGGGCCAUUACUGACGCUGAGGAGCGAAAGCGUGGGGAGCGAACAGG